UGAAACUGCUUUUUUGUCAUUUGGAUGAUCAUGAAACUGACUUUGUGGGCAUCUUCUGCAUGCCAGUUUUUUUAUUCUCUAACGUCACUCUUUGUUUUGCCUUUUCCAGUGAUACUAAUCUUGCCAGCAGCAGAUAAACUUUGCAUGACAGAAGUUCAAGGUCCAACACCACUCAUGCAUCUUUCUCCAGAUCGUAUCUCAAGGGUGGGGAGACACCUUUGGCCGGUGAACCAAGACGUUUGGAGAAGGAGUGUUCCCGACUGGAGCGGGAUGUGGAAGAAGGUUCCCGCAGGUUGGCCAUGGCCCACAACGAGAGCCGGCAUUUGAAAGAUGAACUGGAGUCUGCUCAGAAUUGGUCUCUGCUCGGAUCAAAGCUCUCUGCUUGCAUGCAAAUUCUUUUCUGCUCUCUUGGAAGAAAAAGUACCGUUGGCUGGCAACCUCUCAGCCAAUAGAAUAAAAGUGUUGUACUGGG